CAAAUAACACUUUGCUCAAUUUGAUUUCAUAUUUGAAAUUGGGUGAAGUCAAGACCAUUAAUCCUCGUUUUCGUCCGAACCGAAAAGGGGGCAAAGGCACCAAUCACCAGUUUCAAGACUACUUGUCACCGUAUACCUUCCGUUCAUUAGCUGCAGCUGCUACAUCCUUCCUCGUCACGGAUCUGCUCAAGUUGCCGCAUAGCUCCCGUGCGCGAAAUGAAGGUGGAGAGGCACGUCCGUUGUUCGUCCCUCCAUCAUGCACAUCCCGAUGUCGUGGCGUGGCUUCCCAACCAUCCAGUGUUGUCGUCCUCAACCUUCCCCCUUGCCCUGUUGUGCGCCACUCAAACGCUCCCUCUCCCCUCUUCCUGGGAAAUUGGAAGAGAGGGACCUCUUUCUUUGCGGCUCUAGCAUCUCGUUUUGCAAGGCGAUGGAGUAGGCAUCUCCGCUCUCUUUGCUGAAGCACACAAUAUCAUUCAUAAGAGAUUUUUGGUUCAACAAGUUGCCUAUUAACUCAUGGAUGGAUGCAUUCUCAGCACACAAGCACAUAGAAAUUGAUUCAAUUCGGAACAAAGUACCGCAAGAAAUUUGGCUUUGGGUUCAUAACAAGCACAGACAUAUUUCUUUCACACCAAAUACUAGAAGAGGUGAAGUUGGCAUAGUCUUUAGUUGCACCGAAGCUUGAAAUGUUGCUGAUUCUGAAUGGAAAGUGCCUCUUGAUUAGUUGUGUUGAUGACUUCUAGCUUCCAAUUAUUACACUACUUCAGACUGCACUUUCUUAUAUUGUGCAAGCACGCUAUGAUAAAAGUUUUAUUGUUGAACUUGAAAUUGCAUCUCGAGAGGAAUUCAUUCUUAUAGAAAGACGUCUUACACGACUUUGGGAACGUUUAGCUCGGCAUAAGAUUCAAGAGACUCCAAAAGAAACAGGAGAGAGAGUUCAAGAUUCAAUGCAAGAAGAAGACGUGGUGCCAACCGAUAGUUCUGAUGAGGUUGUUUCUAUUGAACACAAUGCUUCCAUGCUAACUUUUGACCUAAAUAAAACACCAGAAGAGAAUGAGAUCUUUUGAUUCAUGUUGUUUAUUUGAUAUUUUGACUUGGGUUUUAGAUUCCAAUUGUUUGGGCUUUAAUUUGAUCUUAUUACAUACCUUUGAGUUCUGACAGACCUUGUUUGAGCUUGUUUCCUGAAAAAUUGGGACUAAAAUGAACUUAGUGACUGAUGUGACUUUAUAUUUGGAUGUUGAAUUUGAUGAAGUAGCAAUGAACUUGUUGGAGAUUGAACUCAAAUGGACUUGAGUUACCUUAGUUAGUAUUGUGUAACUUGGAAUGGUUUGGAGACAUGAUUCGAAUGAAUCCAAGGUUUUUAUAUUUUUAAUUUUUUUUCUAUAUAUGUAAUUAUGAUAUAAAGAAUAUAAAUAUAUAUCCCUAAAUAGUGAAACUUCUUAAAGAAUUGUUGUCUAAUGUCUAUUAUUAUGAUUACUACAUCGUUGAGAUAACAUUAAUUAAUUAAAAGACAUGCAUAGAUUUUGGAUACGGUAUAGAAUACAGAUUUAUCAUUACGUAUAGAAUUUUUAACCUUAAAAGCAUAAUUUAAAUUAAUGAUUUAAUUUAUUUUGCUCCAAAUUAUUAUAGUUGCAUUAUUAUACCUUUAUCAUUAAUUAUGUUACUCAGUUUAUUAAAAAAUUAACUGUUUAAAAUAGGUAAUUUUAAGCAAAAAAGUUAAUGUAUUCAUAUUAGUUUUAAAUUAAAUAAUUAUAAAUAAAAGCACUCUUAUUAUGUUAAAGUUUUAAAGCAUAUAUAAACGUGCUUGUCCUUUAUUUAAAUAACUCUAAUGUUAUUAAUUUAAUGACCAUGUAAUAUUAUAUUUUAAUUUUGAUAAGGUGAUUUGUUAUUAUAAUUAUAAUAAUAAUAAUAUAAUAAUAUUAUUAUUAUUUUGUUCUGGUGUUUUUUUAUUAUAAUUAUUUGUAUUCUUUUAUCCUGUUGCUUCGAUUUAUUGUUAUUAUUAUUGUUGUUGUUGUUGUUGUUGUUGUUGUUGUUGUUGUUUGAUGCUAACAUACUACUACCUGAUGAGGACUCCUGCUAUAUCACUCAUUCACUGUUACUCAUUCACUAUUCAAAUCACAUAACCUACCGCCACUACCAUAAUCCUUAUUACUCUCACUACUAUUAAACCCUUCAUAGUUCAACCCCUCCAUCCAUUGCCGUCGGCCCUAGUUUUCUUCUCCACGUCGUGCUCAAAGCUGUGGCGUCGCAGUACUCAUCGUCGUUCCCAAGUCAGUAUUCGUUGUCGUCGUCAUCGGCCGCAAGAAGACGUGUCUGUCCCUGCAGCGAGCCCUUGUCCUUGAGCCCCUUCUCUCUCUGUCCGAGGCCCCGUCCUUCUUCUCUCGCCGUCAAAACCAUUCCUUCCGCUGUUGUAUAUUAAGAUGCUCAGGAUAGGUCAUUACAUGAAGAUAUCCAAGUUAGACACAACAUAUCAGCAACCUCAAGUAGGAUCUGCUGCGGCUUCAUCCUCCCAUCAAGUGGAUUGCCCAAUUCCUCCGUCCAAUGGUAGUGGUGCCUCCGCAGCCUCGUCUUUAUGCCCCUUUCGUCCGCCUUGUAGCGAACCACUGCCUACUCUACAUACUUGCACGAAUGGUGUUCAAAACUCAGAGCCGGGCGUUGAAAACCUAGACCCAGAGGCAAAUGAGGUAGAUUCUUUUGAGCAAUACGUUGAUAACUUGUUUGCUGCAUCGGAGGCUCAGAAGUGCAAGGGACGUAAGACCACUGAAUUUUAGGAUGUUAAAACAAUUGAAUCCAAUGGCACAAUCAAAUAAGUUCAUUUGAGUGUGAAAAAGCUAUGAAGCCACCUAACAGUAGAAAGAUCGUACUCAGGUUCAACGAGAACCUGCAACCAGUUGGAGAUGAAGCUGGUGAACUGAUCGGCGUUCUCGGAUUGCUAGGAUCUGACUACACCAAAUUCCCAAUUUGCGAGGAAGACUAGAGAAAGAUUCGCUCCAAGGACAAGAUCUAUAAGGAAUGUGUAAAGGAAAUGUUUCAUUUUAAUGAAGAUAGUGGAGGAUUCAUCCAGCGUACAAUAUUAAAAAUGUUAGGGAGCGCUUGGAAGGAAAUGAGGAACAAAUUAUACCAUGAUCAUUAGACUCACAACUGAUUAUUGAACAAAAUAUUGAAGACCGCCCACCGAAAAUUACUGCAGAUCAUUGGAGAUGGUACCUUGAUUAUCGCAAUAGUGAAGACACAAAGUGUAGGAAAAAUGCUGUGAAUCGAUCGAAUCGGCUAUACACUUACACUGGCGGAUCGAAAAGCUUGGCAAGGCUCGGAGAAGAAGAGUCAGAACGACAAGGGAGGAGAGUUAGUAGAGGAGAGUUGUGGACCUUAACGCACAAACGACCUAAUAGCUCCUAUCUCCAUGAUGCAGCUCGGGCUAUUGGUGUAAGUAAUGUGUUGAGAAUCGAAAGAAUUGCAGAGAUUGAGCAACAUGAUGAAUCCUCUAGAUUGUUGUCUCAGAAUAAUUUGCUUGCUUAAGCUCUCGGAAAGUAGCACUCGGGUAGAGUGCUUGGCAUGGGUUUCAGACUGACUUCUAGUCAAGUCUUCGGUACGAAUUCCAUCAGCCGAGCAAUAGAGCUCAAAGAGAGGAGACCCAAAGGGUGCUGCUUGAACUACAAGUAGAGCUGGCGGCCGAAAAAUUGAGAAGGAAGGCAGUGGAAGAUGAAGUAGCAGCCGAGAAGACAAAAAGUAGGUAGUGGAGGAUGAAGUAGCAGUUGGGAAGAUAAAGAUGCAGGCGAUGGAGAGUGCUUUGAGAUGUCUAAUUCAAGGGUAAGGUGGGGAGCUGCCACCAGACGUCGCUGCAUGGAUGAAUUCAUUGGAGGGACAGAGUGGAAAGUAGAUCUUAGAAUCGGAUUUUUUUUUAAAUAUACAUCUUUUUGUUGUUAAUUAUGCAACUCUUAGUAAGAAAUACACUUUA